rnacentral:rRNA from 1 species
CCAAUCGAACUCGGAGAUAGCUGGUUCUCCCCGAAAUAGCUUUAGGGCUAGCGUUAUCUUAGAUUACCGGAGGUAAAGCACUGAAUGGGCUAGGGGGCGAUAAGCUUACUGAACCCUAUCAAACUCUGAAUGCCGGAUAAUUGAUGGAUAACAGUCAGACAGUGUGAGAUAAGUUUCAUUGUCAAAAGGGAAACAGCCCAGACCCACAGCUAAGGUCCCAAAUGUAUGCUAAGUGGAAAACGAUGUGGAAUUGCGAAAACAACCAGGAUGUUGGCUUAGAAGCAGCCACUCAUUAAAAGAGUGCGUAAUAGCUCACUGGUCGAGUGACUCUGCGCGGAAAAUAUAACGGGGCUAAGUAUGCAACCGAAGCUUGGGCUUGUCUAAAGACAGUGGUAGGGGAGCGUCGUGUAUGGGGUGAAGUCGCAUCGGAAGGAGCGGUGGACUGUACACGAGUGAGAAUGCCGGAAUGAGUAGCGAGAAUUAUGUGGGAAUCAUAAUGGCCGAAAAUCUAAGGUUUCUUGGGGAAGGUUCGUCCGCCCAAGGUAAGUCGGGAGCUAAGCUCAGGCCGAGAGGCGUAGGCGAUGCACAUACGGUAGAAAUUCCGUAACCACCGAAACUUAAACAGAGGGACACUUCGAAAUAGCGGAACCCGGGCGUUGGUUGACCCGGGCGAAAGGGAGCGAAAUUAGAGUAGCGAAGUCCGCGAUGUUCGGAGGCGAGAAAAGCUCUGAGGUAUGCUAAGGUGCCCGUACCGCAAACCGACACAGGUAGAUGAGGAGAGAAUCCUAAGGCCAACGGGAGAAGGGUUGUUAAGGAACUCGGCAAAUUGACCCCGUAACUUCGGAAGAAGGGGAGCCCCCUACGGGGGGUCGCAGAGAAAUGGCCCAAGCAACUGUUUACCAAAAACACAGGUCUAUGCUAAAUCGAAAGAUGACGUAUAUGGGCUGACGCCUGCCCGGUGCCGGAAGGUUAAGAGGAGAUGUCAGGCAACGAAGCAUUGAAUUUAAGCCCCGGUAAACGGCGGCCGUAACUAUAACGGUCCUAAGGUAGCGAAAUUCCUUGUCAGGUAAGUUCUGACCCGCACGAAUGGCGUAAUGAUUUGGGCACUGUCUCAACAGCCCGCCCGGCGAAAUUGUAGUACUGGUGAAGAUGCCAGUUACCCGCAACUAGACGGAAAGACCCCAUGGAGCUUUACUGCAGCUUAAUACUGAAAUUCGGUAGUACAUGUACAGGAUAGGUGGGAGACUGAGAAAUACAGGCGUCAGCUUGUAUGGAGUCGCUGUUGGGAUACCACUCUUGUACUGCUGGGUUUCUAACCUGCGGCCGUGAAUCCGGUCGGGGGACACUGUUAGGCGGGCAGUUUGACUGGGGCGGUCGCCUCCUAAAGAGUAGCGGAGGCGCUCAAAGGUUGGCUCAGCAUGGAUGGAAACCAUGCAAUGAGUGUAAACGUAUAAGCCAGCCUAACUGCGAGACCGACGGGUCGAGCAGUAACGAAAGUUGGAGUUAGUGAUCCGGUGGUAUGUGAGUGGAAAUGCCAUCGCUCAACGGAUAAAA